AUCAUUAUUGAAUGAACUUGGUGUGGUUGUUGCUGGCUCUUUCGAGGGCAUGUGCACGCCCACCAUCCUCAUCUCUCCACCUGGUGCACCUCUUGUAGACUUGGAUUGACUUUCCGAGGCAACUCGGUCGGGAGGAUUGCCGGCGCCAGCUGGCUUUCUUUGCAUUUCCAGGUCUACGUUUUUCAUAUACCCCAUUGUAUGUAACAGAAUGUAACAUUGGGCACUUGUGCCUAUAAACUUUAUACAACUUUCAGCAACGGAUCUCUUGGCUCUCGCAUCGAUGAAGAACGCAGCGAAAUGCGAUAAGUAAUGUGAAUUGCAGAAUUCAGUGAAUCAUCGAAUCUUUGAACGCACCUUGCGCUCCUUGGUAUUCCGAGGAGCAUGCCUGUUUGAGUGUCAUUAAAUUCUCAACCUUUAUCAACUUUUGUUGAUAAUGGCUUGGAUAUGGGGGUUUAUUUUGCUGGCUUCUUUACAGAUGGUCAGCUCCCCUUAAAUGCAUUAGCCGGUGCCCCGCGUGGACUGUCUAUUGGUGUGAUAAUUAUCUACGCCGUGGACAUCUGCAAUCAUAUGGGUUUGCACUGCUUCCAACUGUCUGUUGAAUCAGACAAUACAUGACAAUUUGACCUCAAAUCAGGUAGGACUACCCGCUGAACUUAAGCAUAUCAAUA
rnacentral:rRNA from 1 species